rnacentral:lncRNA from 1 species
CUUUUUCCUAAAAAGGGAAGAGAAUAAACAUUCCUGGGUAGAGGAAACCCAUGUGAAGCAUACCAAUUAGGCAGCAAACCGAGAGUUGACACAACAGAAAACAACUAGAUUGAAAUGAGUCUUGCCACCAAUGUGUGAAAAGGUCAGCUCUACCAGGGAUAAUUCUGAAAGCCGUUCCUGUUCCCUGGAGUCCAGUCUACCUCCACCCCACGGGCACACCAGCAAUCUCCUGCCAGCAUAACACUUUUAUGAAGUCUCCAGGACUCUGUCUUGCUUGGGGAGAAGCCCACCAGAGGAAGACUCUGAAGGCCUGAGGCUGAGGCACCAUCCUGCCUCCUGCAAGCUGUGUGGCUAAGGAUUCUGAGUCUCCAUUCCCUCAUGUGUAAAACAGAGUUGCACAGUGCAGAGCCCCAAACUUUGACUAUAUUAGGACAUGUGCAAUCAUUCUAAAACUCAAAACACCACCAGUAAGUUUUUAAAAACUCAUUAUUUAAGGAAGAAAAUGCCCCUUAUCAAAUAACUUACUGGAUCACCUAGUAGUUAGUGCAUGCCUGGCACUCGGCUAUAUGCUGGGCAAUACCAAAAGGAGUAAGGUCAGGUCUCCCUUCCUGAGAACCCCACCCCCUUCCAUCCAGUGGGAGAAGAGACCCAUAAACAAAUGACUACAAUAAAACGUGAUGCACACUGGGGGCUUUCACCCAUAGAGUUCAUGGCAGGGCAGAGGAAGCUGAAGGAAUCACAGAAGGCUUCCCAGAGGAAGCCAGUGAAGCCAACCCUCGCAGGAUGACAGGUCACUGUGCCCAACGGGAGAGAGACAAGGCCCAGCAUGUGCAAAGUGUGCUAGAAACAGGAAUGGGAGACCUUCUAGACAUUGGCUUAGGCAAGGAUUUCAUGACCAAGAACCCAAAAGCAAAUGCAAUAAAAACAAAGAUAAACAGGUGGGACUUAAUUAAACUAAAGAGCUUUUGCAGGGCAAAAGGAAGUCACCUGAGUAAACAGACAACGCACCAAGUGGGAGAAAAUCUUCACAGUCUAUACAUCUGACAAAGGACUAAAAACCAGAAUCUACAACAAACUCAAAUAAACAAGAAGAAAACAAAUAAGCCCAUCAAAAAGUGGGCUAAGAACAUGAAUAGACAAUUUUCAAAAGAAGGUAUACAAACGGCCAACAAAAUGAACAAAAUGCUCAACGUCACUAAUGAUCAGGGAAAUGCAAAUCAAAACCACAAUGCAAUACCACUUUACUCCUGCAAGAACAGCCAUAAUCAAAAAAUAAAAAACAUAAUAGAUGUCGGUGUGGAUGCGGUGAACAGGGAGCACUUCUACACUGCUGGUGGGAAUGUAAACUAGUACAACCACCAUGGAAAACAGGAUGGAGAUUCCCUAAAGAACUAAAAUUAGAACUACAAUUUGAUCCAGCAAUCCCACUACUGGGUAUCUACUCAGAGGAAAAUAAGUCAUUAUACAAAAAAAAUACUUAUACAUGCAUGUUUAUAGCAGCACAAUUCGCAACUGCAAAAACAUGGAACCAGCCCAAAUGCCCAUCAAUCAACGAGGGGAUAAAGAAACUGGUGUGUGUGUGUGUGUGUGUGUGUGUGUGUGUGUGUGUGUGUGUGUGUGUGUGUGUGUGUGUGUGAUGGAAUACUACUCAGCCAUAAAAAGGAAUGAAUGAAUGGCAUUUGCAGCAACCUAGAUGGAACUGGAGACUAUUAUUCUAAAUGAAGCAACUCAAGAAUGGAAAACCAAACAUCAUAUAUUCUCACUCGUAAGUGGGAGCUAAGCUACAAAGAUGCAAAGGCAUAAGAAUGAUACAAUGGACUCUGGGGACUUGAGGGGAAAGGGUGGGAAGUGGGUGAGGGAUAAAAGACUACAAAUUGGGUUCACUGUAUACUGCUCCGGUGAUGGGUGCACCAAAAUCUCAGAAAUCAC